rnacentral:rRNA from 1 species
GACGAACGCUGGCGGCGUGCCUAAUACAUGCAAGUCGAGCGGACUUUCAAGAAGCUUGCUUUUUGAAAGUUAGCGGCGGACGGGUGAGUAACACGUGGGCAACCUGCCUGCAAGACGGGGAUAACUCCGGGAAACCGGGGCCAAUACCGGAUAAUAUCUUCCUUCGCAUGAAGGAAGGUUGAAAGGCGGCGCAAGCUGCCGCUUGCAGAUGGGCCCGCGGCGCAUUAGCUAGUUGGUGAGGUAACGGCUCACCAAGGCGACGAUGCGUAGCCGACCUGAGAGGGUGAUCGGCCACACUGGGACUGAGACACGGCCCAGACUCCUACGGGAGGCAGCAGUAGGGAAUCUUCCGCAAUAGACGAAAGUCUGACGGAGCAACGCCGCGUGAGCGAAGAAGGUCUUCGGAUCGUAAAGCUCUGUUGUCAGGGAAGAACAAGUACCGUUCGAACAGGGCGGUACCUUGACGGUACCUGACCAGAAAGCCGCGGCUAACUACGUG